rnacentral:rRNA from 1 species
GACGAACGCUGGCGGCGUGCCUAAUACAUGCAAGUAGAACGCUGAAGAGAGGAGCUUGCUCUUCUUGGAUGAGUUGCGAACGGGUGAGUAACGCGUAGGUAACCUGCCUUGUAGCGGGGGAUAACUAUUGGAAACGAUAGCUAAUACCGCAUAACAAUGGAUGACACAUGUCAUUUAUUUGAAAGGGGCAAUUGCUCCACUACAAGAUGGACCUGCGUUGUAUUAGCUAGUAGGUGAGGUAACGGCUCACCUAGGCGACGAUACAUAGCCGACCUGAUAGGGUGAUCGGCCACACUGGGACUGAGACACGGCCCAGACUCCUACGGGAGGCAGCAGUAGGGAAUCUUCGGCAAUGGGGGCAACCCUGACCGAGCAACGCCGCGUGAGUGAAGAAGGUUUUCGGAUCGUAAAGCUCUGUUGUAAGUCAAGAACGAGUGUGAGAGUGGAAAGUUCACACUGUGACGGUAGCUUACCAGAAAGGGACGGCCAACUACGUG